rnacentral:rRNA from 1 species
UACAGAGGGUGCGAGCGUUGUCCGGAAUUACUGGGCGUAAAGCGUGCGUAGACGGUUAUGUAAGUCAGGUGUGAAAGCCCAGGGCUCAACCUUGGAAUUGCAUUUGAGACUGCAUAGCUAGGGUGCGGAAGAGGGAAGCGGAAUUUCCGGUGUAGCGGUGAAAUGCGUAGAUAUCGGAAGGAACACCAGUGGCGAAAAGCGGCUUCCUGGUCCAGCACCGACGUCAGGCACGAAAGCGUGGGGAGCAAACAGG